CCUACGGGCGGCAGCAGUGAGGAAUAUUGGUCAAUGGCCGUAAGGCUGAACCAGCCAAGUCGCGUGAAGGAAGAAGGAUCUAUGGUUUGUAAACUUCUUUUAUAGGGGACUAAAGGUAUCCACGUGUGUAUAUUUGCAUGUACCCUAUUAAUAAGCAUCGGCUAACUCCGUGCCAGCAGCCGCGGUAAUACGGAGGAUUCGAGCGUUUUUCGGAUUUAUUGGGUUUAAAGGGUGCUUAGUCGGACUGGAAAGUCAGCGGUAAAAUCGAGAGGCUCAACCUCUUUCCGCCGUUGAAACUGUCGGUCUUGAGUGGGCGAGAAGUAUGCGGAAUGCGUGGUGUAGCGGUGAAAUGCAUAGAUAUCACGCAGAACUCCGAUUGCGAAGGCAGCAUACCGGCGCCCAACUGACGCUGAAGCACGAAAGCGUGGGUAUCGAACAGGAUUAGAUACCCCAGUAGUC
rnacentral:rRNA from 1 species